UUUUUCUGUCUGUCUACAUUUUGGGUAGGAGGUUGCUUAAGUUUGGGGGGAGCAUUUUUCUCAUGAAGGCAUACAUCCUGCCAGAUAAAUGUUAAUUCUUGGGGGUGAGCAAUACAUCUCUCAGGAAGAAAUGCAUCCUGUU